rnacentral:lncRNA from 1 species
CUGUGUUCUGGGGGGACAUUGCUCUGGAUGAAGAUGAUCUGAAGCUGUUUCACAUCAACAAGGCCCAAGACUGGACCAAGCCAUCAGGAGAGGAAAUGGGACAUAACACUGGUGGGCUUGGAGAGCAGCCAUCUGAGAAGUGGCCAAACACUACUCCCUUGAAUACCAGCAGCCACCAAG